CUCAGUUUUCCUGCAAACUUCAAAAGCCUUGAAAAAGCAGCUGUAAGCCACCUGCUCAGCUGGCUGAUGCACUACAACUGUAGCUUGGUCACAGCAGUAGCAAAAGGGCUGAGAAAAAGAAUUUUUCUCUAGCAUCUCUGAAGAAAGUAUGUGCAUACCCAGGAAUCAGAUUGGAAAGGCAGGAAAUCUUCCUAGAGCUCCUUUGAAAGAAUAAGGAGGUGGUUCACCCAAAUACCUGAGUCCAGGAUAUCCUAAGGACUUGCAGUUGUUACAGUACAGUAGAGGAGACAGCGAUAGAUCCAAGCAUCAGAGAGGGGACAAAAAUAAAGGACACAGGAGAUGAAUGAGCAGCAAACUGCUACGGCUGGGGAAGCAGCGUGGCUCAGAGGAACAGCAGAAAUAGCUGCCUGCUUUCCUGGUAUCCUGAGAAGAGGAAUCUGUAAUUAGGAUACAAGCAAAUAUCCUCGCAAUCUGUUUCUGACAGUGGAAAAACAAUUUCUCUACUAUUUUAAUGAUUCAUCUGUUUUGAAAGCAUGAUGAAUAUUGAUGGAUCUGACAGCAUCCUGUCUGCUGUAUAGGAAAAAAAAAUUGAGAAUUUUAGAAAAAGUUAAAAAAUGAGAAUAAUGAAUGUCUAAAAUAUGAAAGGAAUUCAAAUAAGAAAUCAUUGGUAGCCCUCCAGAUACUAAAACCUUUAAAUGAUCAACCCUUUCUAAGAUUUAUUGUGAAAAAAUUAAAAAUUGAGUAGUGGAAACUCAGUGUCUUAGAUUAA